rnacentral:rRNA from 1 species
UACGAGGGUCCCAAGCGUUAUCCGGAUUUAUUGGGUUUAAAGGGUGCGUAGGCGGAUUAUUAAGUCAGUGGUGAAAGCUCUCAGCCUAACUGAGAAAUUGCCAUUGAUACGGAUGAUCUUGAGUACAGUUGAAGUGGGCGGAAUGUGUCAUGUAGUGGUGAAAUACUUAGAUAUGACACAGAACACCGAUUGCGUAGGCAGCUCGCUAAGCUGUAACUGACGCUGAGGCACGAAAGCGUGGGGAGCAAACAGG